AAGCACCCCUGGCGCCCCGGCCGAGCGUUAGCGCUCGGAUAUUCUAGAUCGGUCCAUUUGGAGCGAGGCGCCGGCAGCGAGCAGUCCUGGCUCUGCAGACGUAAUUAAGUGUCACAAGCGGGGUCUCUGAACAAGAAGCUAUUAAAGAACAUGAUGAUGAACAUCGCUCGUCUGAAAGCCCCACCAAGUGGGAAGCCACCGGCCGACAAAAGAUGCACUAAGCGGGUGGUUCAAGACGAGAAUGGCCCUGAAGCGAGGAUUAACUGUACCUCGCGUAAGCGGCCGCCUUUCCUUGUCGUAGAGAACUAAAGCUCCGAGUAACGACAAUCAACUCCAUGCAGUCGGGGAUACAAUCUGUUUCUUCUAUUCUCUACUCUUCGAUUCUUCAGGAAGACAAUAAGCCUGGCCUCGACGUAGACUGUUGGGAGAGCGGGCAGGAGGGGGUGCGCCGUGCCGCCGCAGUCUGACAGGCUUCCAGAUAACAUCCGCGUCGGUGGAAGCAUCGGGAUACGAGGGGCCAGCUUGAGAUCGCCUAUUAACCUAUAAUUUAAAAAAUCUUCAAAUUUAUCUUAAUUUCUCAUGAUUUAUCUAUCUCAUCCUUUUUCAAAGAACAGCGGUCCCGACUCAGAUUUGAUUGUCCUAGGAAAGAAAUUAGGAUUAGACUUUAUCUUCCGGAUUUGUCGUUGUAAGGUUAUGAUUGUAAAUGGGAGUGUUCGGGUAAGCAGCUGUCACGCAUCGAGUUAACAUCUCUCGAAGUUUAGCGACGUCGCCGUGACAGAAGCCAGCUCGGAGGCUCUCAUUGGUCGGCUAACGUCGACUAAUUGACAAUAUAAUGGCAACGGCAUUUCCAAAAGGACUCUCAACGUUGGUUAAGUAGGCGAUGUCCUGUACCGGGAGGACAAAGCCUAAUAAUGUAAAACAGGACGUUUAGGGUUCUUCUCAUUUUUCUGAGCUUUGUGACACAAAGUAAUUACAUGGAGUAGUGAAAAAA